AUUUCCUCGCAGUUUCACGGCAGCUUGGGCUGUUGUGUUGUCAUAGCAACCAAGUUUAAAAAACAUGGGUGGACUGACACCGCCCAAGAAGCUUUCAGCCUCACAAAUGCGACAAAAAGCCCUAAAAUGCACGGUCGAAUUGGAAAUCCAAGCUAUCACUUGUCCAGGGGUGGUGCUGCCAUCCCAAGAGGACAUUUAUGUUAGUGUUCGGAUAAUGGGCCAGUACCAGAAGUCCAAGUGUGUUCCUCCAGUUUUCCCUCUGCUGCUGCAUGAAAAAAUGGUGUUUGUGAAGACCUUUGUGGGAGUGGUUGACCCGGGUGCUGUAGCUGAGCAUCUGCAGAAUGAUACAACAUCUUUAGAGCUCAUUCAGCUCGUUCCUCCAGAGGGUGAGAUCCUGGCCACGUUUGAAGAUGACACCCGGGUGUUUCUGUAUCCAGGCCCUCGUUUGACUCCCAGAAGCCCCGGCCCAGAGAGAGAGAUUCUGAUGAAGAGAUCCAUCUCCUUCCCCGGAAUCUCUCCCAAAGUGGAGUUCUCAACGACAUCUAUUAUUGAGGAGUGUGAUGUGAAACAUGGUCAGCCUGCCAUGUCUUUAUGUAAUCGAUCUACUACUAAGCCCCGCCUUGUGAGAACCUGCCCUUCAAACACAAAGAAGAAGAAACCAGACACAGCGCCAUCCUGUGGAUACGAAAAGCCAACGGUGGCAUCCCAAAGCCGUGCUCCUUCACCAUACACCCACCGCAAGAUGUGUCAGCUGUCCGAGGAGGCCAGACAACGACUCAGCCACCUCAAACUUGGGCCCUACACAUUUAAGAAAGAAACGGUUCCUCAGGCUCCAUUUGUGGUGCCCCGAAGCCCAAACACGUCGCUGAUGGAAUCCCCAACGUGUCUUACAUCUCACUCUGCUACUAAAAGAAGCCCGCUACAACUGCGAUCACGGAGCUACACCGCAAACCUCACAGAUCCAUCUCUCCUUGGAAGUUUCAGAUCAAAGCCCUCACAGGCGUCCAUGCAGGCAGCCAGAAAUUCCCCAAAUAAAUCCCCCAAAGAGCAUUCCACACCUGUGUCCAGCACUCUCAGAGACCAGAGUCCAGUCCUGAGCCGCUCUUCACUGAGAGAACGGUUCCAGAGUUCAUCCAGUCCCUCACAGUCCAGAGAGAUCCACAAACGAGUGCAGAGAAUCCUAAACAGCUCCGGUCCCCGCUGCAAGCUUUCUUUUGUACGUCACGCCUGAGAUCGCAACCGCAUGUAAUGCUGUCAUUCUAUGUGCACGUUAACCCAUGCAAAAUGAUUCUCCAAAACACUCAUUACGGCACAUGUCAGUGUUUCAAACGUCCUCCAUUGAUUCUGUCAGGCGCUCUGUAUUCUUCACAUCCAUUGUGUCAGGAUGUGCUGCCACUGUUUUCCAGGAAGUGAACGAGACAGGAGAGAGAGAGGAGAGAUGCCACUGUGGCACAGUCGGGUGCCAAGCGCUGUGUGGCUGAAGCCCAGCUCGAGAAGGGAAAUGUGUAAUCCACUUCAGAGUUAAAAAGAGAGAAGUACUAGGAUUUAUUUUAAAGAGUUUUAAUCAAGCAGUUCAAAGGAUCUGCUUUUUAUUAGAGUUUCACUCUUCAUGCAUUGGCAUAUUUUGGAGAAAUUUAAUUAGUUUGGGAUAUUCAGCGACAUUGCUUUGUGCUAAUUUCACCAUAUUAUUAGUUGUUGUUUUUUUCCUUCAAAAAGAAGUUUGUGAAUAUUUUCCACAAACGUGUGUAUGUGUGUUGUCAGGAUGAAGAGAGUGAGGAGGAGGGAGUCAGACAGAGUUCAUGCGUUUCCACCCACCAUGAUGUGAUUGACAGCCGGCUCCCACAGGACAGGCUUAUUCCUGGAGAACCAUCUGUUCAUUUAGACAACGGCACAUUUUGGACUAACAGAGCG